ACGGAAGGCAGCAGUGGGGAAUAUUGGACAAUGGGGGAAACCCUGAUCCAGCGACGCCGCGUGAGUGAAGAAGUAUUUCGGUAUGUAAAGCUCUAUCAGUAAGGAAGAAAAUGACGGUACUUGACUAAGAAGCUCCGGCUAAAUACGUGCCAGCAGCCGCGGUAAUACGUAUGGAGCAAGCGUUAUCCGGAUUUACUGGGUGUAAAGGGAGCGUAGACGGCAAAGCAAGUCUGAAGUGAAAUCUAUGGGCUUAACCCAUAAACUGCUUUGGAAACUGUUUAGCUAGAGUGCAGGAGAGGUAAGUGGAAUUCCUAGUGUAGCGGUGAAAUGCGUAGAUAUUAGGAGGAACACCAGUGGCGAAGGCGGCUUACUGGACUGUGACUGACGUUGAGGCUCGAAAGCGUGGGGAGCAAACAGGAUUAGAUACCCUGGUA
rnacentral:rRNA from 1 species